ACUCAAAGGAAUUGACGGGGGCCCGCACAAGCGGUGGAGCAUGUGGAUUAAUUCGAAGCAACGCGAAGAACCUUACCAAGGCUUGACAUGGGGAUGGCAGGUGUAGAGAUACACCCUUCUUCGGACAUCCCACACAGGUGGUGCAUGGUUGUCGUCAGCUCGUGUCGUGAGAUGUUGGGUUAAGUCCCGCAACGAGCGCAACCCUUAUCUUUAGUAGCCAGCAUGUGAUGGUGGGCACACUAGAGAGACUGCCGUGGACAACACGGAGGAAGGCGGGGAUGAGGUCAAAUCAUCAUGCCCUUUAUGUCUUGGGCUUCACACGUGCUACAAUGGUUCGAACAAAGUGAUGCAAGACGGUGACGUGGAGCAAAACACAAAAACGAGCCCCAGUUCGGAUUGCAGGCUGCAACCCGCCUGCAUGAAGUUGGAAUCGCUAGUAAUCGCGGAUCAGCACGCCGCGGUGAAUACGUUCCCGGGCCUUGUACACACCGCCCGU
rnacentral:rRNA from 1 species